UACAUAUAUGUAGAGUAUGUCGGUGUAUAUAGAUUGACAAGUACUCAAGUGGCCUCUCCCCUCAUUUUUCUGACAAAGUACCCAUGCAAGUUUUCAAGGUUCCUGCUUGCAGAGGUAUCGCGACAAGGGUCGGUGCAAACAGGGGUACUCAUUUUUCUGACAAAGUACUUACAUAUGGAAGUCUGUAAGGUUCAUGCUUGCAGGGGAUUUGCGACAAGGGUCAAGGGAUACUUCAGAACAGGAGAUAUGCCACUAGACUCCAUGACCUCGAAUGACUCGACAUUCUGGCCCUCCGGUAGCUCCCAAUCAAAAUGGUACAGCAAAUUAGCCAGUGCAAGCUCUGCAAGGCGCGUUGCGAAUGCAAUGCCAGGGCAUCCCCUCCUCCCAGCGCUGAAUGGUACGAACCGAAAGUCCUUGCCAUUAUAGUCGAUGGACGUGUGCAUGAACCUGUCUGGCAGGAACUGCUCAGGGUUCUCCCAAGAUUCCUUGUCCCUUCCAAUUGCCCAUGCGUUGAUGAUGACCCGAGUCUUGGCAGGGAUGUCGU
rnacentral:lncRNA from 1 species